GCCGGGUGUGGUGACGCACUCCUGUAAUCCCAGCUACUUGGGAGGCUGAGGCAGGAGAAUUGCUUGAACCCGGGAGGCGGAGGUUGCAGCAAGCCUAGAUCGUGCCACUGCACUUCAGCCUGGGUGAAAAAGCAAGACUCCGUCUCCA
ensembl:misc_RNA Metazoa_SRP Metazoan signal recognition particle RNA